ensembl:lncRNA
GCGGAUCACAACUAUGCCUCUACAAACCAAGUUCAUGGCACAACUUGACAGAUACUCAGCUGACCUAACCAAGCUCUUCAGCAAGAGAGGCGGGGCUGCUGGGAAGAAGAUUAGACACAUCAUGGAGAGGACGGCUCAGUGUGAUGACAUAAACUCCAGACGAGAACGUGUCCUAAGAAGCCUCUGUGUCUACCUCAAUGAGGAUGAUAUAACUCUCAUCAAGGAAUACAUAAACCGCAACGUGGAAGAAGCGGACAGGGAGUCGGCCACCAUGGGACUUAAUGUCGUCCGGAGAGAGGGUGCUGAUUCAGGGGAAGAGCCUUAGCAUGUCGGAGUGGUGCUCGAGGGUGUGGAGCUGCUGAGCAAACUGGGAAGCGUUUCUUUUGGAUUUUCCAUGCUUUUUGGACUGAUUUACUGUCUCAACAUGAGCUACCCACAAGGGCUCAUUCACAUUUGAGUUCCUCCAGAAGGUGCUGAUGAACUUGGAUGGCAACAAUCUUUCUCCUAAGGUUCAAGCACUUAAAAUGAAGAUGCUCCAGUGAACUCACUUAUAGGAGAAUGACCGAAGCUGCCAGUCUCAAACCAUGAAGAUCCUUCUGGUCUACGCCCAAGAUGAUCCAGUGGAUGUUGCACUUGUAAUCGAUGGUGCUGAAGUGCUCACCAAAUGUGGAAACAAAACAAAGGCAUGUGUACUGCUGAUGGUACCCAUCUAAAUUAAAG